rnacentral:rRNA from 1 species
AGGAGUGUGUAACAACUCACCUGCCGAAUGAAUUAGCCCUGAAAAUGGAUGGCGCUGAAGCGAGUAGCCGACACCACACCGUCUGACCAAAUGUGGAAGUCCAGAUGAGUAGGAGGACGUGGCGGUCGUAUCGAAGCGUACGGGCAACUGUGCGUGGAACGGCCGCUAGUGCAGAUCUUGGUGGUAGUAGCAAAUAUUCAAGUGAGAUCCUUGAAGGGCGAAGCGGGGAAGGGUUCCACGCGAACAUUGAUUGAGCGUGGGUGAGUCGUUCCUAAGCCGCGUGGCGAUUGCUAAUUAUCGGCGAAAGGGAAGCAGGUUGACAUUCCUGCACACGGAUGUGGAGGCGGCGACGCCCUACUGGGGAGGUUACGUUGGCGGUGGCUCUGGGCAGAGUUUUCUUUUCUGUUUAACCGUCCAUCGCGCUGUGUGGAAUCCGCUUGUCGGGAGAAACACGCGCGUACGGGCAUAGCGCCGGGGCUUUUCCGGCGUCCAGAUCGCCACCGACGACCCUUGAAACACCUCCUGCUGGGCAAAGCGAAAGCUUUGUUUGAACAAUCCACGCCGUAACGUACCCAUAACCGCAUCAGGUCCCCAAGGUGAACAGCCUCUGCUCAAUAUGAUCAAUGCAGGUAAG